AGCGAACGCUGGCGGCAGGCCUAACACAUGCAAGUCGAACGAACCUUUCGGGGUUAGUGGCGGACGGGUGAGUAACCCGUGGGAACGUGCCUUUAGGUUCGGAAUAACUCAGGGAAACUUGUGCUAAUAACGAAUGCGCCCUCCGGGGGAAAGAUUUAUCGCCUUUAGAGCGGCCCGCGUCUGAUUAGCUAGUUGGUUGAGGUAAUGGCUCACCAAGGCGACGAUCAGUAGCUGGUCUGAGAGGAUGAUCAGCCACAUUGGGACUGAGACACGGCCCAAACUCCUACGGGAGGCAGCAGUGGGGAAUCUAGCGCAAUGGGCGAAAGCCUGACGCAGCCAUGCCGCGUGAAUGAUGAAGGUCUUAGGAUUGUAAAAUUCUUUCACCGGGGACGAUAAUGACGGUACCCGGAGAAGAAGCCCCGGCUAACUUCGUG
rnacentral:rRNA from 1 species